ACGUAGGUGGCAAGCGUUGUCCGGAUUUACUGGGCGUAAAGAGCGCGCAGGCGGUCGUUUAAGUCGAAUGUGAAAGCCCACGGCUCAACCGUGGAGGGUCAUUGGAAACUGGGGGACUUGAGUGCAGAAGAGGAAAGCGGAAUUCCACGUGUAGCGGUGAAAUGCGUAGAGAUGUGGAGGAACACCAGUGGCGAAGGCGGCUUUCUGGUCUGUAACUGACGCUGAGGCGCGAAAGCGUGGGGAGCAAACAGGA
rnacentral:rRNA from 1 species